rnacentral:misc_RNA from 1 species
CACACAACCUUGCUGCUCCUCACCUGCACGGAGUUGAAAAAUGACUACUUGAUGGAGAACAGAGAAAAGUUGUGCAGACAUAAGCAGAAAACCUUAGCAGUCAAUAGGUAGUUUCCAAUAUUUAUCAGAUGAAACAAAAAAAAAAGGGAAUAUGCAAAGAUCCCAAAUUGUUAGAAAAAUAAAUUAGCAUGUUAUGAAAUAAGCAAAAUUACAAAUUAACUAUGCUUAAACUACUUCAGUUGCUAUCACAAGACAAGUGUCAAAUGGAACUAUGACACAAAUCAAAGUAGAGUUGCUAUAAAUCUACAUAUAAUAUGGACAUAUUUAAA